ACGGUAGUCCUUCGGGAUGAGAGUGGCGAACGGGUGAGUAAUAUAUCGGAACAUACCCGUAAGUGGGGGAUAACGUAGAGAAAUUUACGCUAAUACCGCAUAUUCCCUGAGGGGGAAAGGAGGGGAUUCGCAAGAACCUUUCGCUGACGGAGUGGCCGAUAUCGGAUUAGCUAGUAGGUGAGGUAAAGGCUCACCUAGGCGACGAUCCGUAGCGGGUCUGAGAGGAUGAUCCGCCACACUGGAACUGAGACACGGUCCAGACUCCUACGGGAGGCAGCAGUGGGGAAUUUUGGACAAUGGGCGAAAGCCUGAUCCAGCCAUACCGCGUGAGUGAAGAAGGCCUUCGGGUUGUAAAGCUCUUUCAGCCGGAAAGAAAUCCUGCUUACUAAUACUAAGUGGGGAUGACGGUACCGGAAGAAGAAGCACCGGCUAACUACGUGCCAGCAGCCGCGGUAAUACGUAGGGUGCGAGCGUUAAUCGGAAUUACUGGGCGUAAAGCGUGCGCAGGCGGUUUUAUAAGCCAGAUGUGAAAUCCCCGGGCUUAACCUGGGAACUGCAUUUGGAACUGUAAGACUAGAGUGUAGCAGAGGGGGGGUAGAAUUUCCACGUGUAGCAGUGAAAUGCGUAGAGAUGUGGAGGAAUACCGAAUGGGCGAAAGCAGCCUUCUGGGCUAACACUGACGCUCAUGCACGAAAGCGUGGGGAGCAAAACAGGAUUAGAUACCCUGGUAGUCUACGCCCUAAACGAUGUCAACUAGUGUUUGGG
rnacentral:rRNA from 1 species